GAUGAACGCUGGCGGCGUGCCUGAUACAUGCAAGUCGAGCGAACAGAUGAGAAGCUUGCUUCUCUGAUGUUAGCGGCGGACGGGUGAGUAACACGUGGGUAACCUACCUAUAAGACUGGGAUAACUCCGGGAAACCGGGGCUAAUACCGGAUAAUAUUUUGAACCGCAUGGUUCAAUAGUGAAAGACGGUUUCGGCUGUCACUUAUAGAUGGACCCGCGCCGUAUAAGCUAGUUGGUAAGGUAGCGGCUUACCAAGGCGACGAUACGGAGCCGACCUGAGAGGGUGAUCGGCCACACUGGAACUGAGACACGGUCCAGACUCCUACGGGAGGCAGCAGUAGGGAAUCUUCCGCAAUGGGCGAAAGCCUGACGGAGCAACGCCGCGUGAGUGAUGAAGGUCUUCGGAUCGUAAAACUCUGUUGUUAGGGAAGAACAAAUUUGUUAGUAACUGAACAAGUCUUGACGGUACCUAACCAGAAAGCCACGGCUAACUACGUGCCAGCAGCCGCCGUAA
rnacentral:rRNA from 1 species